UCCCCCUGGCAAGGGGUAAAGAGACACUUUAUUGUUGGUUAUGUUCUUAUACCAGUCAAGGGCAGAGAAAACAGCAGUACUUUGUUUAUCCUAGCUUGUGCCUGGCUUGGUGGCCAAAAGUAUUUUAUGCCUAGGACUCAUAA